AAACUGGUAGUGUGAAGGGAUGCUGGGACUGUCAUUUGAUAUUAGACACAUUCAAAUUCACAGAAACAGAGUGGCAAGAGAGAUAGGAGUGAUGUGGAUACCUCAAAUUAAAAAAGGUGGACACUCCCCCCUUUUCCUUCCCAAUAAUAAGACGACAGAGGGGAGUGUAAGAGCAGGAGGUCUCCAGCCUCAGGACCAGGCAGCACAUAACGGGCCCUCCUCCAUACGUGUAGAUGAAGUGGGGGAGACUGAGCAAGCAAUGCCCAACCCCUACUCCACAGCUGGAGCUCUGGAGUAAUGAAAGGGAGGGCGACAGGUCUGGGAUUUCAGGCCUCCACUGUGGAGAUACUCUUUCUCCCUGCCCUGCAGGCAGCAAGGAUAGAGCUCACAGUGAGAGUUGGGGGAGAUAAAAGACGGCCCAGUCCACCAAAAGGGAGAGAGAGAGCCCAGCUGAGAAGCUGUUUGUGAGUUGGCCGCUGCCAUGUUUCAACGUUAGAGUGUUUAAAUUGAAGCUUCACUGUUGCGCUUUAAGUGAAUGUGUUUGUUUUCUGUUAAUAAAAAGUGGCAUU